rnacentral:rRNA from 1 species
AACGAACGCUGGCGGCAGGCUUAACACAUGCAAGUCGAGCGCCCCGCAAGGGGAGCGGCAGACGGGUGAGUAACGCGUGGGAAACUACCCAUCUCUACGGAAUAACGCAUGGAAACGUGAGGUAAUACCGUAUACGUCCUUCGGGAGAAAGAUUUAUCGGAGAUGGAUGAGCCCGCGUUGGAUUAGCUAGUUGGUGGGGUAAAGGCCUACCAAGGCGACGAUCCAUAGCUGGUCUGAGAGGAUGAUCAGCCACACUGGACUGAGACACGGCCCAGACUCCUACGGGAGGCAGCAGUGGGGAAUAUUGGACAAUGGGCGCAAGCCUGAUCCAGCCAUGCCGCGUGAGUGAUGAAGGCCCUAGGGUUGUAAAGCUCUUUCACCGGUGAAGAUAAUGACGGUAACCGGAGAAGAAGCCCCGGCUAACUUCGUGCCAGCAGCCGCCGUAAAAC